rnacentral:rRNA from 1 species
GAACGCUGGCGGCGUGCCUAAUACAUGCAAGUCGAACGAGUUCUCGUUGAUGAUCGGUGCUUGCACCGAGAUUCAACAUGGAACGAGUGGCGGACGGGUGAGUAACACGUGGGUAACCUGCCCUUAAGUGGGGGAUAACAUUUGGAAACAGAUGCUAAUACCGCAUAGAUCCAAGAACCGCAUGGUUCUUGGCUGAAAGAUGGCGUAAGCUAUCGCUUUUGGAUGGACCCGCGGCGUAUUAGCUAGUUGGUGAGGUAAUGGCUCACCAAGGCGAUGAUACGUAGCCGAACUGAGAGGUUGAUCGGCCACAUUGGGACUGAGACACGGCCCAAACUCCUACGGGAGGCAGCAGUAGGGAAUCUUCCACAAUGGACGCAAGUCUGAUGGAGCAACGCCGCGUGAGUGAAGAAGGCUUUCGGGUCGUAAAACUCUGUUGUUGGAGAAGAAUGGUCGGCAGAGUAACUGUUGUCGGCGUGACGGUAUCCAACCAGAAAGCCACGGCUAACUACGUGCCAGCAGCCGCGGUAAUACGUAGGUGGCAAGCGUUAUCCGGAUUUAUUGGGCGUAAAGCGAGCGCAGGCGGUUUUUUAAGUCUGAUGUGAAAGCCCUCGGCUUAACCGAGGAAGCGCAUCGGAAACUGGGAAACUUGAGUGCAGAAGAGGACAGUGGAACUCCAUGUGUAGCGGUGAAAUGCGUAGAUAUAUGGAAGAACACCAGUGGCGAAGGCGGCUGUCUGGUCUGUAACUGACGCUGAGGCUCGAAAGCAUGGGUAGCGAACAGGAUUAGAUACCCUGGUAGUCCAUGCCGUAAACGAUGAAUGCUAGGUGUUGGAGGGUUUCCGCCCUUCAGUGCCGCAGCUAACGCAUUAAGCAUUCCGCCUGGGGAGUACGACCGCAAGGUUGAAACUCAAAGGAAUUGACGGGGGCCCGCACAAGCGGUGGAGCAUGUGGUUUAAUUCGAAGCAACGCGAAGAACCUUACCAGGUCUUGACAUCUUUUGAUCACCUGAGAGAUCAGGUUUCCCCUUCGGGGGCAAAAUGACAGGUGGUGCAUGGUUGUCGUCAGCUCGUGUCGUGAGAUGUUGGGUUAAGUCCCGCAACGAGCGCAACCCUUAUGACUAGUUGCCAGCAUUUAGUUGGGCACUCUAGUAAGACUGCCGGUGACAAACCGGAGGAAGGUGGGGAUGACGUCAAAUCAUCAUGCCCCUUAUGACCUGGGCUACACACGUGCUACAAUGGAUGGUACAACGAGUUGCGAGACCGCGAGGUCAAGCUAAUCUCUUAAAGCCAUUCUCAGUUCGGACUGUAGGCUGCAACUCGCCUACACGAAGUCGGAAUCGCUAGUAAUCGCGGAUCAGCACGCCGCGGUGAAUACGUUCCCGGGCCUUGUACACACCGCCCGUCACACCAUGAGAGUUUGUAACACCCGAAGCCGGUGGCGUAACCCUUUUAGGGAGCGAGCCGUCUAAGGUGGGACAAAUGAUUAGGGUGAAGUCG